rnacentral:lncRNA from 1 species
AAUAUGCAAGGGAGGGGCUGUAUCUCGCCGAGGGAUUGUAACUUGGUGAUGUAGGACUAUAUGAUGGUGAUGUUGGGCUGUAACUGGGAGAUGUUGGGCUGUAACCAGGGGAGGUAGGACUGUAUGCAGGAGAAGUGGGACUAUAUGAUGGAGAAGUUGGACUAUAACUUGGUGAGGUGGGGCUAUAUGAAGGCGAGGUGGGGCUGUAAGAAGGUGAGGUGGGGCUGUAUGAAGGUGAAGUGGGGCUGUAAGAUGGAGAAGUGGGGCUGUAAGAUGGAGAAGUGGGGCUGUAGGCAGGCGAAGUGGGGCUGUAGGCAGGCGAAGUGGGACUGUAGGCAGGCGAAGUGGGGCUGUAGCUAGGCGAUGUUGGGCUAUAACUAGGAGAUGUAGGGCUAUAGCUCGGAGAUGUUGGACUAUAACUAGGUGAUGUGGGAGAGUACGAUGGACUGGUUGGGGAAUAUGCUGGACUUGUCGGACUGUAGCCAGGAGAGCUGGGGCUAUAAGUGGGGG